rnacentral:rRNA from 1 species
CCUACGGGAGGCAGCAGUGAGGAAUAUUGGUCAAUGGGCGGAAGCCUGAACCAGCCAAGUCGCGUGAGGGAAUAAGGCCCUACGGGUCGUAAACCUCUUUUGCCGGGGAGCAAGGGCGGGGACGUGUCCCGGCCCGGAGAGUACCCGGAGAAAAAGCAUCGGCGAACUCCGUGCCAGCAGCCGCGGUAAUACGGGGGAUGCGAGCGGUAUCCGGAUUUAUUGGGUGUAAAGGGGGCGUAGGCGGGCUUUUAAGUCAGAGGGAAAAAUGCGGGGCUCAACCCCGUCCGGCCGUUGAAACUGGGGGCCUUGGGGGGGCGAGAAGAAGGCGGAAUGCGUGGUGUAGCGGUGAAAUGCAUAGAUAUCACGCAGAGCCCCGAUUGCGAAGGCAGCCUUCCGGCGCCCUACUGACGCUGAGGCACGAAAGUGCGGGGAUCGAACAGGAUUAGAUACCCUUGUAGUC